rnacentral:rRNA from 1 species
GGGAGGGGGUGGGCGUCGCGCGCCCCUAGCGGGCCGUGCCGCUCCCGUCCCCGCCGGCGGCGCCAAACUCUAAAUUUACAGCGGACUGUACGUUCUGAUUUACAAAAAAAAACAAGUUAAAACUUUCAACAACGGAUCUCUUGGUUCUGGCAUCGAUGAAGAACGCAGCGAAAUGCGAUAAGUAAUGUGAAUUGCAGAAUUCAGUGAACCAUCGAAUCUUUGAACGCACAUUGCGCCCGGCAGUAAUCUGCCGGGCAUGCCUGUCCGAGCGUCAUUUCUGCCCUCGAGCGAGUUCCAGCAUCUAGGUGCUGGUGCUCGCCCGGCGUUGGGGCACUACGGUAGAGCCCUGUGCUGUCCGUAGGCCCUGAAAUGAAGUGGCGGUCCUGCCGCGGCGCCCCCUGCGUAGUAUAACAGCUCGCUUCGGGACCCGGUGGAGGCCAG